GACGGGGGCCCGCACAAGCGGUGGAGCAUUGUGGUUAAUUCGAAGCAACGCGAAGAACCUUACCAGGUCUUGACAUCCCGAUGCUAUUUCUAGAGAUAGAAAGUUACUUCGGUACAUCGGUGACAGGUGGUGCAUGGUUGUCGUCAGCUCGUGUCGUGAGAUGUUGGGUUAAGUCCCGCAACGAGCGCAACCCCUAUUGUUAGUUGCCAUCAUUCAGUUGGGCACUCUAGCGAGACUGCCGGUAAUAAACCGGAGGAAGUGGGGAUGACGUCAAAUCAUCAUGCCCCUUAUGACCUGGGCUACACACGUGCUACAAUGGUUGGUACAACGAGUUGCGAGUCGGUGACGGCGAGCUAAUCUCUUAAAGCCAAUCUCAGUUCGGAUUGUAGGCUGCAACUCGCCUACAUGAAGUCGGAAUCGCUAGUAAUCGCGGAUCAGCACGCCGCGGUGAAUACGUUCCCGGGCCUU
rnacentral:rRNA from 1 species